rnacentral:tRNA from 1 species
CAGAGUGUAGCUAAAUUAGAAAAGCAUCUCCCUUACACUGAGAAGUUAUCCGUGCAAGUCGGAUCACCCUGA